GCACAGGUGCUGCAUGGCUGUCGUCAGCUCGUGUCGUGAGAUGUUGGGUUAAGUCCCGCAACGAGCGCAACCCUUAUCCCCAGUUGCCAUCAGGUAAAGCUGGGAACUCUGGGGAGACUGCCGGUGAUAAACCGGAGGAAGGCGGGGAUGACGUCAAGUCCUCAUGGCCCUUACAUCCCGGGCUACACACGUGCUACAAUGGCAGGUACAGAGGGCUGCAAAGCCGCGAGGUAGAGCGAAUCCCAGAAAACCUGUCUCAGUCCGGAUUGAAGUCUGCAACUCGACUUCAUGAAGGCGGAAUCGCUAGUAACCGCGAAUCAGCAGGUCGCGGUGAAUACGUUCCCGGGCCUU
rnacentral:rRNA from 1 species